rnacentral:rRNA from 1 species
CUCUUACCCAUGUCUUUUGAGUACUUACGUUUCCUCGGUGGGCUCGCCCGCCGGUUGGACAAUUUAAACCAUUUGCAGUUGCAAUCAGCGUCUGAAAAACAUAAUAGUUACAACUUUCAACAACGGAUCUCUUGGUUCUGGCAUCGAUGAAGAACGCAGCGAAAUGCGAUAAGUAGUGUGAAUUGCAGAAUUCAGUGAAUCAUCGAAUCUUUGAACGCACAUUGCGCCCCUUGGUAUUCCAUGGGGCAUGCCUGUUCGAGCGUCAUUUGUACCUUCAAGCUCUGCUUGGUGUUGGGUGUUUGUCUCGCCUUGCGCGUAGACUCGCCUUAAAACAAUUGGCAGCCGGCGUAUUGAUUUCGGAGCGCAGUACAUCUCGCGCUUUGCACUCAUAACGACGACGUCCAAAAGUACUUUUUACACUCUUGACCUCGGAUCAGGUAGGGAUACCCGCUGAACCUAAGCAUAUCAAUAAGCGGAGGAAAAGAAACCAACAGGGAUUGCCCUAGUAACGGCGAGUGAAGCGGCAACAGCUCAAAUUUGAAAUCUGGCGUCUUUGGCGUCCGAGUUGUAAUUUGCAGAGGGCGCUUUGGCAUUGGCAGCGGUCCAAGUUCCUUGGAACAGGACGUCACAGAGGGUGAGAAUCCCGUACGUGGUCGCUAGCCUUUACCGUGUAAAGCCCCUUCGACGAGUCGAGUUGUUUGGGAAUGCAGCUCUAAAUGGGAGGUAAAUUUCUUCUUAAGCUAAAUACUGGCCAGAGACCGAUAGCGCACAAGUAGAGUGAUCGAAAGAUGAAAAGCACUUUGGAAAGAGAGUUAAAAAGCACGUG